AUUGAACGCUGGCGGCAGGCCUAACACAUGCAAGUCGAACGGUAACAGGAAGCAGCUUGCUGCUUUGCUGACGAGUGGCGGACGGGUGAGUAAUGUCUGGGAAACUGCCUGAUGGAGGGGGAUAACUACUGGAAACGGUAGCUAAUACCGCAUAACGUCGCAAGACCAAAGAGGGGGACCUUCGGGCCUCUUGCCAUCGGAUGUGCCCAGAUGGGAUUAGCUAGUAGGUGGGGUAACGGCUCACCUAGGCGACGAUCCCUAGCUGGUCUGAGAGGAUGACCAGCCACCCUGGAACUGAGACACGGUCCAGACUCCUACGGGAGGCAGCAGUGGGGAAUAUUGCACAAUGGGCGCAAGCCUGAUGCAGCCAUGCCGCGUGUAUGAAGAAGGCCUUCGGGUUGUAAAGUACUUUCAGCGGGGAGGAAGGGAGUAAAGUUAAUACCUUUGCUCAUUGACGUUACCCGCAGAAGAAGCACCGGCUAACUCCGUG
rnacentral:rRNA from 1 species